rnacentral:rRNA from 1 species
GUGUAAGUGCACAAGGGAGCUUGACUGUGAGACGUACAUGUCGAGCAGGGACGAAAGUCGGGACUAGUGAUCCGGCACCGGCAAGUGGAAGCGGUGUCGCUCAACGGAUAAAAGGUACCCCGGGGAUAACAGGCUGAUCUUCCCCAAGAGUCCAUAUCGACGGGAUGGUUUGGCACCUCGAUGUCGGCUCGUCGCAUCCUGGGGCUGGAGUAGGUCCCAAGGGUUGGGCUGUUCGCCCAUUAAAGCGGCACGCGAGCUGGGUUUAGAACGUCGUGAGACAGUUCGGUCUCUAUCCGCCGCGCGCGUAAGAAACUUGAGGAAACCUGUCCCUAGUACGAGAGGACCGGGACGGACGAACCUCUGGUGUGCCAGUUGUCCUACCAAGGGCACCGCUGGUUAGCUACGUUCGGAAGGGAUAACCGCUGAAAGCAUCUAAGCGGGAAGCCUGUUCCAAGAUGAGGUUUCUCACCCUCUUAGCAGGGGUAAGGCCCCCCACAGACCAUGGGGUAGAUAGGCCAGAACUGGAAGCCCGGUAACGGGUGCAGGUGACUGGUACUAAUCGGCCGAGGACUUACAACCAAAACA